rnacentral:lncRNA from 1 species
GCCUUGGCCUCCUAAAAUGCUGGGAUUACAGCCAUGGGCCACUGUGCCCGGCCAUAAUUUUUGAAUUUUUUUUUUUUUUGGUAGAGAUGGGUUUCCGCCAUGUUGCCCAGGCUGGUCUCCAACUCCUGGGCUCAAGUGAUCUUCCCACCUCAGCCUCCCAAAAUGCUGGGAUUACAGGCGUGAACUGCCAUGCCCAGCAGAAAAAUUGUCAUUGGAAUAAAGUCUGGGGUUUUGUUAAAAGUUUUAUAUCGGCCGGGUGUGGUGGCCCAUGCCUGUAAUCCUAGCACUUUGAGAAGCUGAG